rnacentral:rRNA from 1 species
UACGGAGGAUGCAAGCGUUAUCCGGAAUGAUUGGGCGUAAAGCGCACGUAGUCGGCUUUGCAAGUCGGUUGUGAAAUCCCCGGGCUCAACCUGGGAACUGCAUCCGAGACUGCAUUGCUAGAGUAUGGGAGAGGAAAGCGGAAUUUCUGGUGUAGCAGUGAAAUGCGUAGAUAUCAGAAGGAACAUCAGUGGCGAAGGCGGCUUUCUGGACCAAUACUGACGAUCAGGUGCGAAAGCGUGGGGAGCAAACAGG